rnacentral:misc_RNA from 1 species
UUUCCGUAGGUGAACCUGCGGAAGGAUCAUUCCAAGGUGUGGCAUCUUGACCGCGCAAGGUCAAGUUUGCUACUUUCCUUACACUCACCUGUGCAUUGUGUUUGAGGGGUUGGUUGACGCUCUUGGCCACCUAGUGUGGUCGUCAGCCAGCCACCAUUUUCCACACCUGUUUUUAUACCGAUGCUGAUCUCUCCAGUCAUUGCAAGAUGACUGACAAACAGUACUAAAACAACUGUUGGCAACGGAUCACUCGGCUCUC